GAAGUACCAUCCACGUAUAUCCAUCCAUUUCCAUCUCCAGAACCACCCAAAAAUAUUCUACUCUUAAUCCGGGAGAGAAUAGCCAAAAAUAUUUUCGUUUUCCCUUGUGAAAUAAAUGCUCAAGUUAUCAUGUUACUACCACUUGCUAUAUUAUCUCAAGAGAUGAGUGCUAUAAAAAAAGAAUAUAUAUACGAGGAAAUAAAAAGGAGCAAGUGCUCGGAACCUCGAAAGAAAAGAAAAAGUGAGACGAGAGGUAAAAAUGGACAAGUGUCCGACAGUAGAAUUAGGGGUACAAGAUACCCACCUGAGAGAAAAGAAAAAUGUAGAGCAUCUCAUUCUCCUCACUAUUCAAAAAGCAAGGAAGGUAUGUAUCCCCUCAAAAGAGCAAAGUAGAAUUAGACUUUCACCAUUGUUAUCACCAUCAUCACCAUACAACAUUCAUUCGCCACACAUGCACAUCUUGAUUUGACUUAUUGAUUCGUUUCUUUGGAUCCAUGGUUUGACUAUGCAAUACAUGUCUUGUAAGUAUGUAUAUUUUAUCUCCCACCUAUGAGCUCCAGAUAUAAAAGCCUUAUUAGAGUAGGGUGAGAGAGAAGGCAAUGUCACUAUGCCUUAUACCACAAAUACUACAUAUCUUGAGAGAAGGCAUAUACCAUCACUGCCU
rnacentral:lncRNA from 1 species